rnacentral:lncRNA from 1 species
UGAUGGUUCUGAUUCCCAUGAUACUGAAGCGGCACAUAUUGACUACUAUUCUGAUUAUGAUUCCGAACAGGAACGUACUGCUGAUUAUGAUGCUGGUGGUGGUGGUGGUUGUGGUUAGGAUUAUUGCUAUGCUGAUGGUGAUGAUGUGGAUGGUGAUUGUGGACCGGGAUCACGUGAGAUACGGGUACAGGACUAUGAAUCGGAACAUGGAAAGGCGACGGAGGAGGAUAGAUAUGCAUCAUCGCCGGAGGAGGAGGCGGAGGAGGGAUCACGGUGAGGCGAUUAAGACUAGCAGUAGGAGGAGGAGGAGGAGGUUGUUGCUGUUGCUGUUGAUGACUAGAGGGGCGCGUGGGGACAAACUCAGGCGCCUGCGCGUUGAGUUUACUAAAAGACACAUUUCGAGAAAGCGAUGGAUCUGACGAAGAAGAA